CUUGUUUGCCAUUCAAGGCGCCCUGCCAACAAUUUUACAGGCUUCUCGUUUAUAAUGGCGGUCUAUGGACCACAGGGAAUUUUCUUAGUUGCACUACCACAGAUAGGUACUCAGGCAAAUUGAUAGCACAGCUGUGGAGAAGGGUCCUGCUGCAGCCUGUUGACCAGGGGGUGAGGAAUGAGGGGCUGCAACGUGUAAUCCCCCCUCAGACCACAGUGCGGGUUGCGAUGGCAGAGUGGCGCUGUCCGUAUUUCUGCUCGCUGACUCCGCGGAACUUAUGAAGGCUGCAUAAGCAAGGUUUCAAAGUUUAUGACUGCUGAAAACUUUAGCCAAAAUAUGAGAUAUUAGUUUCUUUUUAUGUUUGUGGUGAAUGAAACUUUGUUUGGGCUGAUAUUCAUCUGCUGGGCUUCAGUAAGUUUGUUCCUGACAUUUAUUCAGCUGUUUCUCAGCUGUGGAACCAGAUGAACGGUAAGAGACAAUGUUGUUUUAUGUCUGAAUUUUUGUCAUAUUCAUAAUGUGACGUUAUUUUUCCACUCGAUAACAUUGGUAAUAUUAAAUGGUAAUAUCAGCAAUGAACAACAACAGAUGACUGUACUGUUCUGUCUCCUGUAUUUGUGACUGACAGUAAACCACUGUAGCAUUAUUGUCUCUGAUGUAGUCAGAUAGAUAAACUGAUUCAGAUAAACAAAGCCACGCCAAACUUUGCCUGAUAAACAGUGGACAUGGAGGUGCACAAUGUAAUAUUUGAAGUGUGAGUUAUAUAAAUGACCUGUGUGGGAAUUCUGCAGCUUGUUGUCUGAGCUGUCAGAAACUGAUCUGGACUCUUUCUAGACUGAUACUGACACAAGACAGAAGAAUUGGCAAGUAAUCUCACUGGGUUGUGCUUAUUUUCUUUACAGUCACCAGAGACCCAGCCUGAUCUGAACCAAAAGGUUCUCUGUGAUCACAGCCAAUGGAUACGUCAAUAACUCUGUGACAUCAUCUGGAGAUCUUCAUCAGUGGAUCUGAUGUCUGGUAAAAGCUCCUGUGUUUCCUUGAACUGGUCUCUAUCUUUAAGCACAUCAGUGCAACAUGACUCUUCUGAUCAUCCUCCUUACAUCCCUCCUCUGGUCACGCUGCAGCCUCAGCACCAGCUCUGACAGGACUAUAACCAGCCGCAUCUGUAUUUACUUUAUGUUUUCAUCAACAUUUGCAUAAGUCAAUCUUAUUGGCUGUGUUAUGUAUGAUUUUAUCAGAUGUAUUGAAUUAUAAG